UACGUAGGUGGCAAGCGUUGUCCGGAUUUACUGGGCGUAAAGGGCUCGUAGGCGGCCAACUAAGUCAGACGUGAAAUCCCUCGGCUUAACCGGGGAACUGCAUCUGAUACUGGAUGGCUUGAGUUCGGGAGAGGGAUGCGGAAUUCCAGGUGUAGCGGUGAAAUGCGUAGAUAUCUGGAGGAAUACCGGUGGCGAAGGCGGCAUCCUGGACCGACAUUGACGCUGAGGAGCGAAAGCUAGGGGAGCAAACGGGG
rnacentral:rRNA from 1 species